CGAACCAUUCAUAGUGGAUACACCUGUUUCCAUCCCGAACACAGCAGUUAAGCACUAUGGAGCCGAAGGUAGCAUUAAUUUGUCAGAAUAGGUCGUGCUUCGC
rnacentral:rRNA from 1 species